rnacentral:tmRNA from 1 species
GGGGCUGCUUGGCAUCUACAUAUAAUUGAGUGUAUUGAAGUUAUGAGGAUGAAGGUAAGCUAAACUUCACUAAUCCUAGCUUGAAUAUAAAUCCAAAACAUCAGAUUAUCUUUUUCUCUAAAAGCAUGGCAUUAGUUUAAUUUUACUUGGUGACUCUUAUCAUGCUAAACAUGAGUAUCAAAUUAAAGCAUCUUAGCUUUAGCUUGAUUAAUGGUAUAAGAUGCUCUUGAACUUUUUUGGUUUAAGCAAAGCUUCAUAAAAUGUUCCUUAACUUUUUACGAUUUCCUCAUCAUUGUAUUUAUGUAGCUUAUAAGUGGUUAGAUAUAAUGAACUUAUAACAUUAUUUUAUAUGCACGUGGGUUCGAAUCCCGCCAGCUCCAC